AAAAAAAAGGUCUCUUUACCAUUGGGCCCGAAAUAUAUCAGGAUAAAGCCCAAGAAAGAUUUAUGGAUAACCCUACUCACACCAUCUUCUUCUCUUUGGUACUUACUCUAUGUUCCAUGGAACGCGGUGGCGUAACCGUUGUUUGCACUCAAUCAAAGUUAUUUACGUAGCCUUUAACACCACCGACCCACUAUUCCCACUUCGUCUCAUUCUAUACACCAUUUCCUUCUUCAAGGGUUACGAAUCUUGACCUAUAAACAAGGGUAUUCGACUCUGUAAAAUUCAUCAGUUUUUACUUCUCAAUCAUUGUUAAUCAUAUCCCGAUGGAGCUGUUCCUGUUCCGAAAUGAAGAAUGAUUACUUUUUGGCAAACACCAAUAUACAUCUUUCUGACAUUAUUGGCAAACUAAAAGCAAUCAGGCACAUGUUGAAUGAUGCCGCACACGACAAAGAACGUGUUAUGGAAACUAUUAGAAUUCAAAGGGAUGUAUCUUUUGUUUGCAUGAGUGUGUUCGACGCACUAGCAGUAAUUUUCAUGAAAAGUUACUCAGCUUCAAUGUGGGCCUUAACGGUCACUGUAGGGGAACGGGGAAGAAGCACCUGAGCUGAAAGAAGAAGGCUCAGAUUUGCACUAGGAACAGUACUGGUGCCAAGUUACGAGAAAGAGGUAAACAUUUCUAAUAUCAAAGAAUUUAAGAGAGACCAUACACUAUUAAGUAUGUGUGGUUGAAGUUUCCUGCCUCUGUAUGUUACGUUCUCCUUGAAUCCAUCAACUAGAUUGCUAGCGUAUUGAAGAAGUUAAUAGAUGAUGGUUUGACUUCUUUCUACGACCAAUUUUUUUUCUUCAAGGUCUUUAUUAAGAUUGUAGUUCCCAUCACCUAUGACUUUUUCUAUUUAUAUUACACUGGCAGCAAGCGUUUUCUGAAGAAUUUAACAGGAAACAUCAAGUGAGAAAUCGUCUGUCUAAGAGUGAGCAUCAAGAAAUGUUUUGGUCUGACUAUGUAAUUAAGUUGCAUUACUCUUUGUUGUAUGACUGUAUCAACCAUUAAAUCACUGAAUUCUCAAAUAUAUAAUUGGGUCUGUUAUUA